ACUUAUAACAAUUUGGUGCGUGACUCGGAUGAACGCAACCUGAUAGAAAGACCUUCGGAGGGGGCGCCCUGCUGAUUUCAGCGGCCUUCGCUAGGACUACUUUCAUUCAGAUCCUUCACCGACGAACCCAAAAUUAGACACAAGCAAAUAAAACCGAUAAACCCCAGGCAACCUUUGUGCACGAAGCCCGAACAAAGACCCACGGUGUGGAAACAGUCGUCCAGACUGCGGAGAAAGGGUGGAUACAUGCCAGCCGUGUUAAAGGACCCAUCUGUGAUGAGAAGUGGGAGAUUGCUCCAGGAAACAAAGACCUGAAGCUCACAUUGCGACAAACUCGAUAGGUACCGUGGGUUAAGGUAGAGGCUCUCCCCUGAAGAACACUACUGCUGCCGAGAAGAACUAAAACCUCAUAGUUGGCUGCAACCCAACUGACGAGUGAGGCAGAGGAGUGAAUAAGUGGGGAAAGAAAUGGGCCUCAGCCAUUCCUAUCAGUAUUUGGGGGUUCUCGCAGUGAUUUCAUCCUGCAUAGCGACUCAACACCACCCCCACCAACCUUUUAAAUGGACUUUAAGUCGAUUCGAAGAUCAACAGGUUAUUGCAACCCAGAUAACAUCAGGGGGGGGCCAAGCUUUACUUCUACACUAUGUCAGCUGAUCUCGAGGCCCCGAUGCUGGGAAUAUAUGGGAUUUUAUUUCUGCCCAAGUUCUAACCCGGGAACGGGGUACUGUAAAUGCCUGAACGUGUAUUAUUGUGCAUACCGGGGGUAUGAAACCAUUGCUACAGACUGGACACUCGGGGCUGGUCAGGAUAAAUUCUUACAAGUGGGAUAUGGGCUGCAAGGUUGUAACUGACAAUUGGAUCCUUGUUACAGGUGGCGAGGGCAUGGUAUAGGGUAUACAGGAACCUUCCACGGAAAUAAGGAAAUAUGCAAGGUUCUAUAUAUAAAUAACAAACUUGGAUGAUACUAGCUGGGUACUAGGAAAAAUGUCAGACAUCUUUUAUGAACACGGAACAGAUAGGGGAGGACUCAUACUAAUAAAGAAGGAAAAACCCGAGACUUCCGAGGUAGUCGGGCCUAAUAAAGAGUUAAGAGGGGAAGGUUUGGUUGUCCAGGCUGUAAAGAUACCUGGGACUGCCCAACCUACUACAGUGUUUUCUAAUAAGUCGACAGAGUUAUCCUUUCCCACACUGCUUCCAAGCAUUGUGAAAAAA